AAACUCUAAAAAACAAUGACAAGAAUUUUAAAAUAGUAGUCUUAAGAGCAGUACUUUUGGUAGCAAUAAAGAACCUUUUCACAUUUGUCUGUAAACAAAGUUCUUGGGGUUAUGUUUCUUUCUAAGACAUAAAGUCAGUGUUCAGGAUAACUUAUGUUUAGGAGUGUACUAUGGCUGCCUUCUUCAAGGUAUGAUGGAGAUACCUACUGAUCGAUCGAUUGAUCUAGAAUUAUUGUUAGACUAACCCUCCCUCCAAAAAUAUCCAUAAAAGUUGGAAUACAAAAAUGCCUGUUUGAAGGAAAAAAAAAAACCUGAAGGCUGUUCUGCGUAUUUCUCCCAUAAGGUAUGUGACAAUUACUGAAUGUGCACACACAAAGCAAAACUCAGAGAAAUCAAGCAGCAAGCAACUCCUAUGCAAGUACAAAGCUAAACAGAGAACUGCUUAGUCUCAUAAUGACAGCAAGAAAAAAAUCUGAAUCCAGAGUCUGUCAGAGAAGACAGACUGUACAAAUGGUUGAUGUUCUAGGAAUGAGGGCAAACUGGGAAUAGAUCAGUUUUGACAGGAUAGAAUGAUCUACCCAUAUUCAAUCCAGAGCCUCUAUAAACUCGUCUAGAACCUACACACAUUUUUACCAUAAAACGUCCAGUAUUCAAUUAAAAAAUUGCCAGGCAUCCCGGAAAGCAAGACCAAAUGACUAAAAACUAAGAGAAAAAAAAUGCAUCAGGAAUAGAGCGUUGCUCUUUUCAGCCAGCACCAAGUGAUGGGCAUCUGUUGGGAUAACUGGCACAAGCCCUGCAACACCAGGGGCAAGAGAAAGCCCUUCCACAAGAAGCAGAAGUAUGAGCUGGGAUGCUCUGCCCCAUACACACAGUCCCAAUCUAGGGAAGCAAUAAGAAGUACCCUGCCUUGAGGCUGGGUGUGAGAAUUUCCCCUGGUGCUCUGAGUGUUGGAAGCACCAAAGAGGCAUUAUUGAUACUGUCUAUAAAGGAUCCAACAAUGAAUUAGUAGUCCACACCAAGACCCUGGUGAGGAACUGUACUGUGCUCAUUGACAGCACACCAUCCUGACAAUGGUAUGAUUCCCACUAUGUACUACCUCUGGGCUGCAAGAAGGGGGUUAGGUUGACUCCCCAGGAGGAAGAGAUUUUAAACAAAAAAGAAUCAAAGAAAAUUCAGAAGAAAUAUAAUGAAAGAAAAAAGCAAGCAACAAUGAGCAGUCUUUUGGAGGAGCAGUUCUACCAGAGCAGGCCUCUUGGGUGCAUUGCUUGAAGACCAGGCCAGUGUGGCUGAGCGGAGGGCUAUGUGCCAAAGGGCAAGAAACUGGGGUUCUAUUUGAGGAAAAUCAAGGUCCAGAAAGCAAAUAAAUCAUCCUCCCUAUCUUCAACUCAUGUAAUAAAGAUGUUUACUGUUGAAAAGAAAAGAAAAGAAAAAGAAAAGAGAAAAGAAAAGAAAAAGAUCCUCAGCUGAUCCACAUCUGGAGCUAUCAGAUAGGGAUAUUAAAAGAACAAUGAGUAAUAAAAAUAAAUGAAAAGAUGGAGAAUUUCAUGAGAACUAAAAUCUUUAAUCCUAGAACUGGAAAAUACAGUAACUGAAAAUAUAGACUUAAUAGAUGAAUUUAAUAGCAGAUUAGGCACAACAGAAGAAAUCAAUGAACCAGAAAAAAUACUUAGAUUGAAACUCAGAAAAAAAAGGGAUAAAAAUGCAGAAAAGCAUGGAUAGGGUAAAAGGGUUUAAAACAUAUAUUGGAGUCCCAGAAAGACAGGAGAGAGAGAAUGGGGCAGAAGAGUAUUUGAAGAAAUUAUGGUCAAGAAUUUCCCAAAAAUGAUAAAAGAAGCCAAGCCAAGAUUCAGGAAGUUCUAUAUGACAGAGAAUAGGAUAAAUACAAAGAAAAUCAUACCCAGGCACAUCAGUAUAAUUCCAAAAACAAAGACAGUAAUUAUCAGACAAUUAAAUCCAAUUAUAUGCUGCUGACAAGAAAUGCAAUUCAUAUUUAAGGAUAAAAAUCAUACCCAGGCACAUCAGUAUAAUUCCAAAAACAAAGACAAUAAUUAUCAGACAAUUAAAUCCAAUUAUACACUGCUGACAAGAAAUGCAAUUUAUAUUUAAGGACAAAGAAAGGUUUAAAGUAGAAAAAUAUAGAAAAAGAUACACCAUAACAUUUUACCAAAAGAAAGCUGGUGUAGCUAUAGUAGUAAAUUCAGACAUUUACUAGAGAUGAGACAGAUAUUCAAUAAAAGGAAAGGAUAAAUUCAACAGGAAUUUAUAACAACCCUAAAUUUUGAUAUACCUAUAAUACAUCUUCAAAAUAUUUAAAGCAAAAACUGGUAAGCUACAAGGAAAAGGGGUAUCUCCUGCAAUAACUGACUGAACAAACAGAACUCCUACCAAAUCAGUAAAGAUAUAGAUUGAACAAUACAACAAAUCUGACCUGAUAUUCAACAUAAAACCCAAGAAAUUCAGAAAACACAUUCUUUUGAAGUCUAAAUGGAACAUUUACCAAAACUGAACACAUGCUGAGCCAUAAUGAAAGUCUCAACAAAUUCCAAAGAACUGAAAUCAUUCAGAAUAUGUUCUUUAACCAUAAUGGAAUUAAGCUAAAAUCAGUAACAAAAAGAAAACUAGAAAAUGCCCAAGUAGUUGUAAAUUAAAUGAUGCAUUAAUAAAUGAUUGAUCCAUGGAUCAAAGAAAUCAGAUUGGAAUUAUAAUAUCCUGAAGUGAAUGAUAAUGAAAAAGACAUAUCAAAAUCUGUGAAAUUCAAUUAAAGCAUUGCUGAAAGGGAAAGUUUGCCUUUAAUUCUAAGUAAUUCACGAGAUGGGCAGAAAAUCAAUGAUGUAAAGAUCCACCUGAAGAAGGUAAACCACAAAUAACAA